rnacentral:rRNA from 1 species
UACGGAGGGUGCAAGCGUUGUCCGGAUUUACUGGGCGUAAAGAGCGCGCAGGCGGUCGUUCAAGUCGAGUGUGAAAGCCCCCGGCUCAACUGGGGAGGGUCACUCGAUACUGAUCGACUCGAAGGCAGGAGAGGGAAGCGGAAUUCCCGGUGUAGUGGUGAAAUGCGUAGAUAUCGGGAGGAACACCAGUGGCGAAGGCGGCUUCUGGCCUGUUC